GUUGAAAUCAGCUGGGGUGCCUAGUCUUUUUUGCGCGUUUUCUGGUUGUGGAGGGUGAUGUAGUGCGGGCGGUAGGUAGGGUAAAUAAAGGACAAGGACUGUCAGGAUGUUCUUCUGCUUUAGUCCCUUCCCCAAUCUCCCACUUUCAAACUGGUCUUCUGAGAUUCCCGCUUCCGGAUCUGCUUUUCUCCGAACUUCUCUGGACUGAGACCUGGCUGUCCCGUAAGGAUGCUGCAUCCUCUCACAUGGUCUUUUUGUGAAUCAUACAAAUUAGAUUUAAAAAAAUUUUUUUUGGAGUUCCCUGUUGUGGCUUAGCAGGUUAAGAACCCAACUAGUAUCCAUGAGGAUGCCUGUGCAAUCCCUGGCCUCUCUCAGUGGGUUGAGGAUCCCACGUUGUCAUGAGCUGUGGUGUAGGCCAGCAGCUGCAGCUCUGAUUCCACCCCUAGCCUGGGAACUUCCUCCAUACGCUGCAAGUGCUGCACUAAAAAGAAAAAAAGUGGUUUUUUUUUUAAAUUUUUUUGGUUGCAUUCGCAGAGUUUGGAAGUGCCCUGGGCAAGAUAUCAAACCUGUGCCAUGGCAGUGACUUGAGCCAUAGCAGUGACAACACAGGAUCCUUAACCUGCUGAUCAACUGGGGAACGCCUAGACUUAAUUUUUUCAUUUUAUUAUUUUUUAAUUGAAGUACAGUUAAUUUACAAUGUUGUAUUAGUUUCAGAUGUACAGCACAGUAAUUCAGUUACGUGUAUAUGUAUGUUUUCUUUUUCAGAUUCUUUUCCUUUAUAGGUUUUUAUGAAAGAGUUUGUAUGGUUCCCUGUGCUAUACAGUAGGCCGUUGUUGGUUAUCUAUUUUAUUUAUAGUAAUAUGUUAUCUGAUGCUUACUUCUUAAGACACUCCUCUGUAGAGAGGAGACCAUCUGCUAAUUUGUUCACCCAGCUCCUUGUCUUACUUUCCUCUAACCAUCUUCCAUCUUGAUCAUUUCAGUCAAUGUGGACAACCCAUUUCACAUGCGGGCCUCAUCCCUUACAUUAGCCCCCCAAUCCCAGUCAGAAACCUGGACCUUGUCACCAGAAACCCUAUUGUGUCAUGAAUCAGUACUUCCGACAUCCCUCUGUCCAACCACAGCCUGAUAUUCUUUACCUGGACGGCUCAAGAACUUCAUUUACAUUGUUUUCACUUUAUCAGAACCUCCAGUUCUGAUUGAAAGCUUCUACUUAAUCCUCACUUUUCACUUCACUCCUUAUCCAUCUUAGAUUCAGCAGUAUAUCAUUACAGUCUCCCUCUUACUUACUCUUAAGCCCACCCCAACACCCCUCUUUUCCCCAACUAAGUCCUCCACCCUGGAUGAACUAACAUACUUCUCCAUAUACCUUGUCAUAGUAAAUUGUCCUGAUGAACAAACAGGCAUCACUAAAUGAUUUCAACCUUAAAUGAGCUCCGAACAGUGCCUGGAAAUUUCAUUUUAUUUUUCUAGUUAACUUGUUCUCCACUAUCUGCAAAUCUCUAAACCCUAUGCUUCCCAUACCUCUUCCCCUGAUUAUCUUACUGUGUAAGUAAUAGGAAAUGUAGAAUACCCUAAAAUCUAGAAAUCUACACAUGUUUCCAUCCUGUCCUUUCCUCCUAUAAUUUACUCAAUAAAAAAUAGUUGUUGAACUCCCACUAUAUUCCAUAUGAGGCACUCAUCUAGGUGCUUGUUAAGCAGUGAACAAAAAAAAAAAUUCCUUGUCUUCAAGGACCUAAUAUAGGGAGACAGAAAAACAUACACAUGUAUGUUUAUGUGUAUAUAUGUGUGUAUGAAGAAGAACAAAGCAGGGUAAGAGUUAGACAGUGGUGUCAGGUGACUGCUGUUUUAGAUGUUAGUCAGAAAAAAACUCGUUGAUAAGAGACACUUAAGCAGAAACUGGAAUUGACUUGAUGGGGGUGAGCCAUGUGGAUAUCUAGAGAAAAUAUGUUCUGGGCAGAGAUUACAGCAAAUUCAAAUGGUCUGAGGCAGGACCAUGCUUGACAUACUAUAGAAAUAGAAAGAUACAAAGUGAGUGAGGGGAUAGUGGUUAGAGUUGAGAUCAGAGAGUUAUCCAGGGGCCCAUCUACCUGGGACUUAAUAGGCCAUGGUGACAACUGGAUUAUUACCACCUAAACCACUGAAGAAGUUUAAAUACACAGUGAUUUGAUCAGAUUUAAGACUCUGAAAGUUUCAUUCUAGGAGUUUGUGGCUCAGUGGUAACAAACCUAAGAUUCCUGAGGACGCAGGUUCGAUCCCUGGCCUUUCUCGGUGGGUUAAGGAUCCGGCAUUGCUGUGAACUGUGGUGUAGGUCGCAGAUGUGGCUUAGAUCCUGAGUUUUUCUGGCUAUGGUAUAGGCCAGUAGCUGUAGCUCUGAUUCGACCCCUAGCCUGGGAACUUCCAUAUGCCACGGGUGUGGCCAUUAAAAAAAAAAAAAAAAAAAUUCCAUUCUAGCUGUUGUGCAGAGAAUAAGCAGUGAACGUAGAGGGGUAAGAGUGGAAGCAUUAGCCCUGGCAUAAGAUGACGGUGGCCUGAACUAGAUGACACAGUGAAUAUGCUAAGAAGUGGUCAGAUUUCAGGUGUAUUUUGAAAGUAAAGCCACAGGACUUACUAAUGGAUUAUGUAUACGUUAGAGAUUCAAGGAUGAUGCCAAGGUUUUUGCCCCAGAUAACUGGUAGAACAGUGCUAACAUUACCGACCUGGGGAAUUCUAUCAGAAACUGACCCCAAAUGGAAUACCACUCAGUAAUAAAAAGGAAUGAAGUAUUAGUAAACCUCCAAACUUGGCAUUAUAACAACAUAACAAUAAAGGCAUUAUGCUGAGUGGAAGGAGCUAGUCUCAAAAUGAUAGUCUUGAAAAUAUUAAAACUAUAGUGAUAGAGAAUAAGUCAGUGGUAGCCAGGAGUUAGGGAUGGAGUAGUGACUGUAAAGGUAUAGUUAAAAAGGAGGAUUUGGGAGUGAGGGAACUCUUCUGUAUCCUGAUUGUGGCUAUGUAUAGUUACAUGAAUCUAUACAUGUGUUAAAAUCCAUAGAGAUGUACAAUAAAAAUACAGUCAGUUUUAUUAUAUGAUAAUUUUUUAAAACCAAACCUUCCAUGCAUGCUCAAAUUUCCCUUCCCAAUUCUCAGGGUUCUUCCUUUAACUCUUGCAACAUUGGACCCUUCCAUCAGUAUUCAAACAAACUCUUGUUUCAACCAUCUUUUGCUUUAAAAAACAAAAACAAAAAAAACCCCUUCCCUUGACCCCAUAUUCUGUGACUAAAGCCUUAUCUAAAGAUUCCUCUUCCUGCCAAAUCUUCUAGAAUUACUGUCCUCAUUGCAGCCCAAGUGAUCUUAUCUCUCUCCUUAAAACGCUCUAUGGCUUCCUGUUACUCUUGGGAUCAAGACCUAAAUUCCUUCAUGUGGCCUGCAGAGACCUAGCCUCUGCCUGCCUCUUUGGUCUUAUCUCUGCCUCAGGUGUAGUUGAGGACCCAAGAGGGCAGCCUUACUAGAUAACCUAAGUACUUGAAACAGAACACCACCCUCCCUUCAUAGUAAUGUGUCUUAAACCUGAAGAUAGUCACUCAUCCUGGUCUGGUUACAAGGACUAUCAUUUAAUCUCUCUUCUUUGGCUUCCUGAGAGUUUGAACAGAAAAGCCACAGUAUUUUUUAGCUUCUCCCAUUGAGAGGUGGAGUCUGUUCUCUGCAUUUUCUGAAUCUAGGCUUGGUCAUGUGACUUGCUUUGUUCUAUGGGAUAUUAGCAAAUUUGAUAUUAGAAAUCUUACAGAGUGCUUACAGUUAUGGUUUGCUCUUUCUUGCUACUGAGAACUCUUCCACCACCUUGUGAAAAACUCCUGACUAACCUGAUGAAUGAUUAAAGACAUGUGGUCAUCUCCCCAACUGACAUCUAAGCAACUGCCAGACAUGUGAAUGCAGACCCUUAGACCAACUAGCCUGCCAACCAUCAGACGUGUGAGCCAAGCCAUUGUAGACCAUCUAGGCCUAAUAAUGCUGGCCCAGAACAGAGGAAGCCCCUCAACAAAGCCACAAAUCAGUGAAAAACAAUGCUUAUUGUUUUAAAGUUAAACCAGGAAGUUUUGAGGUGUUUUGUUUUGCAAUAAAAGAUAACUGAUAUCCAAG
rnacentral:lncRNA from 1 species